rnacentral:rRNA from 1 species
GAGCCUGUAUUGGGUUCCAGUAUGAAUGAAGUUAUUGGUUAAUUUAUUUUUUGGUUUUUGUUUUGAACUUUUUAUUAAUAUAAAAAAGUAUUAAUGUAGUAAAACAAAGAUAAGUCUUCGGAAAUUUUCUUAGAGGGUAUAAUGUUGGGUUGUACUUUUAAGGUUUUCUAGGGCAGAAUUUUAUAUAAUUAAUUAUAACUAUUAAUAAGUUAAAAAAUUACUCCGGAGUUAACAGAAAAUCAUACCUAAUCUAGCUCUUAUAGUAAGGUAAGUUUUACAUCGAUGUUGUAUUUAAGUUUAUUAAAAAAGGAGAAAUUUUAAUUUUUAAGACUGUUCUUCUUUUAAUUAAUUUAACGUGAUAUUAGUUUAAUUCAUUGCGAGAUAGAAUUGUUUAUCUUGUUUAUUAUUAAUUUGUAAUUUUACUAGUACGAAAGGAAAAUCAAAAAAAGUU